GGGCGGGUAGCUCAGUCGGAUAGAGCGGGGCGCGAUAUCGCCCAGGUCGGAGGUUCAAGUCCUCCCCCGUCCACAC
rnacentral:tRNA from 1 species